ensembl:lncRNA
AGCAUUGUUCGUUACACAAAUUAGGUAGAAGGCAAAAGUUCAAAAAGUAACUGGACUGGUAACAAAGGUGCUGGGACGCCUGAUAAAAGACGCGACCAAAGUACACAAGGGAGAAUGAGUGCAGCCAGCUGGCUCAUGAGUCGGUGUGGGACCUACCUGCAGUCCAGUCCUGGGUGUCAGAGCAGAGCUGCUGAGGACUGUGAUUGGCCUGGAAGACUGUUGGACCAUGCAGGGACACAGAGUCCACAUUUUAACCACAGACACAGACGCAGGGACACUUUCUGCCCCAGAUGAAGGAAGGAGCCGAACAUGCAGGACUCCUCCGGACUGCAGUCUCUUUGGUCAUUGACGGUAAAAAGCUUGUUGCUCCACUUUUUGCUGUCGAAGGAUGGCCCCCACUCCCCACAAGUGAGAGGCAUUUAAAUAACUACUGCAUAUAUAAAACAUUUGGAUAAUAACUCAUGUAUCCAGAUAAAACAAGUUGAAUUACCAAAGUGUAUACAGGGUUUACGUCCCAAUGAUUCAUGUGACCACCACUGCAUUUGUGUAGUGUCCCCGGGUCUCCAAAGUCAAUAUUCUUCUUUAAAUCCUGAAUCCUUAAAUUCAUACUUAUUUAGUGUUUUGGACAUUCGUGUCAUUAAUGUUUAGGGGAUUGGCAUUAUUUUUGCUGCAUGAAUAAAAUCACAUUAACAUUUAUAUAUGAAUAAUGGCUAACUUGGCCUCUUGAAUGCAUUUGAUGAGAACCACAUACUUUAGACGUUUGUAUGAUUUUCGUUUUUUGGUAUAUGGGGUAAAGUAAUAUUCUUUUACUCACAUUUUAUGUGUUCUCGAUUUAUCUUUCGUCAAAUUAUUUUAAUCUAUUUUGGACAAUCUCGCAUUGAAUGUUUCAAUCAUAGCUCCUUCUACAAAAAUGUGAUUCCACACCAUUCUUGUUUCAGCAUUUCAGUUAAAAAACAAAAAGGAUUAGAAGAAUUAAGGAUUAGAGUUACCUUUUGGAUUGGAUUUUGGAAUAUAAAAUGACUUCUCUUGUUUUUCUCUUGACAGUCAAAGAGUUGACAUUUUAUAUAAUAUGUGCACAAUAUUACACUGUUGUUGUUGCCCCAAUUUUGAAAUCUACUACCAAUGGUCCCUUGAACGGGUACUCCUGUAAAAUUCUAAAAUACAUUCUAAAUAAAUUAUGCCAUGAUGUAGUACGCGCCGCCCAACCACAGACCUCGGCAACCAACAUAUAUGGUAUCUUUUAUUCAUUUAAUUCUAGUGUCGUAAAAAGAUGUAAGCCUCAACAUUUUGUUAUCUUUAAGUCUUUAUGCUACGCAUGUUGAUUCUGUCCCUUACAUUCUCUGUUUCCAUGUGUGGCUGUAUCAGAAUUCACGUAUAUGUAUGUGUGUGGGAGGGGAAGGGGGGGGGGGGGGGGGUGUAAGGGAUAUCCUCUUGGCCUUGGGAAAAAAAAAUCUGUGUGCACAAACUGACAGAAAACAGACUAUGGCAUAGAGCUUCCUCUCAACUAAUGAAUUCCUGAUCACAUUCACACACACACACACACACACACACGCACGCACGCACGCGCACACACACACACACACACACACACACACACACACACACACACACAUGCACGACACAUACAUGCAGACAAAAGCCUUUUUAGCUGCCAGCCCACAGACCUUAGUCAAGGAGAGUUUCUUUCAAGGAGUAGUGAGAUCAAAUAAUAAUGCAGUAUUUUUAGGUGGUUGGUGUACAACUUAAAAUACUUCUUGUUAAUUUGCUGCUCUUAUGGUGAUUAAUUAUUGACUAUUUAUAACUUCAGCACUGCAAAAUUAAAAACGUUUCAGUUGGAACAAAUGGAUUUAAUUCAUAUUGUGUUGAUUUUUUGAAUUGGGUCCCAAAUGUUGGAUGCGUAAAACUAGUUUCAUUACACAUGAAAACAUUGAAACAUUGAAGGACAUUAUAAGUCGGCUCGUGCAGAGUUCAAGUAGGCGAAGGAAGACGGAUCAUCUUCACUGCCGGUGUCUUAUGAGGUGGUUUUCAGUUCAGUUUGACAAGGGAGAAGACGGAUGUUGUGUCAGUGUGCAGUGUCCUCUCUGUCCAGCAGGGAGCAGAGUAAAGUCCUUCUUAAGUCUACCAGAUGAUGUGAGAAAACUAGUACGAGAAAUACUGCUGAUACGACUAAUAGUGCUGUUACUUCUGCUACUACCAUGAUGGUACAUAUUAGUGUUAGAGCAACUUAAAAUGUGACCCCUUUUAUCGAUUCCAUAGCAAAUAGAUGUUGGAUGUUACAUAGACGAACUCUGAAUCCCAUACAUAUUCUCCAUAUGGGCCUUCCAUGAACUUAACUCUUAAGCAAAAUAACCUCCGUGUCUGCAAACACGUGCAUGCAAAAUCUACUCAAUAACCAAUCAAAAGUAAGUGUAAAAAAAUAAAUUUUUAAAAUAAGCCAGGUCAGCUUCUGCAAUAACUUUAGCAAAAUUUGGACACAGAGCUAAAAAAAUAGUGGUAGUAGUAGUAGUAGUAGUAAUAGUAAUAGUUUGGCACAGGCUUAAAAUCCACCAGAAAACGCUGAAACCGGAUUUGAGCCCAAUAUCCUGUAAAAAAAAAGUAAAUACAAUUUGAUAAUCCAAUGCAACUAGCAAUAUUAAUAAAAGAAUCACUGCAGUUUCAGGCUUUAAGGCAACCUUGGGGGGGAGGGGUGGGCACUCCUCAGAGAGUCCCAGUGCUUUUCCUAACAAACGGAAAUAAAUUGAAAAUAAAUAAGACAUAACAACAGAACGAUCCAUUGACAGAGUUAAUAAAAGGAGACAUAAAACAUAUAUUUUACAUAUUUUCUGCUGUAUAUUGGGGGGGACAAAUUGGUAUUUUCUCAAUAUUGGGGGGGACACAACCCCCCCAAAUAAUGCGUGGCUACACCCUUGAUAUUGUCACAAGGCUAUUUACUAAAGUCAAAAAACUAAAUCUGGGGUCAAAUUGUCCCCCAUAUUUCGGUGUAUAUUUGUACUCAGUUAACUCAGGGUGAACAUUCCACGUAACAAAACCCGAUACAAAAUGGAGUUGAAAAAAAAAAUGGAGAAAAAAAUGCAGAAAAAAUGUGGGAUAAAUCUAGCUGCUAGAAUUGGUUUGGUUUUCUAAAUACAACCAAGCCUCAAACCACUGUUGUUCCAACCACUUUUAUAAAUGGCAGAGAGACUCAAAGUUUGAGGUUGAUUUUUCCAUCAUUGCCCAGCGCAAUAAGCAGUCCCGUUUUGCUACAUAGGUGAAGAGAAAACGAAAUAAAUUGUUUUAUGGUGGCGUACAAGUCAAUGAGUCUCUCAGACUGCGCUGUAAUCUGGUGGUACGUCAAGGGUUAAUCCUUUAUCUCUCCUGUAUCAGAUGGCAGCACCUCACCAUGCCAAUAUCUCUGGUUUCUGCUUCUUACGUUUUUGUCUGCUGUGACUUCUCAAACACUCAGACUUCUAAAACGGAAAUGUUUACUCUUAGUUGAAAAGAUGAGAAAAAACACCUCCUCUAGUUUUAAGAAGGUUCACAACAGUUAACCUGAAGCCACAUCCCUCCGUAUAACGCAGUUCACCAGGCAAUUUCCAGAGCAAUUUCCAGAGCAGUACAAAGGCUGCAUGCAGUUCCCAUAAACCUCUCCCUCUCAGCACUUCUGAGAAAUCUGAGAAAAAAUGGAGCUUCAGUUGCAGGGCUGAUGAUUCCCCCUUUUUACUGACUUCAAUAUGCCCAUCUGCUUCAUUCAACUUCAACCAACAAGCUGAACAAAAGGCAGACAAUCAAUCUAAGCUGGAUGUGUCUCUCUGCCCUGAAAAUACCAACAGUCCCCCCACAACACUAUGCAUGUUUCUGCUGUGGGUCUCGGACUGAUCAAACAGGUUUUAUGUUGGAGCCUCUAGUUUGAAAACCUUCUGUGUUAAGGUCAGUGAUAAUGAAGGAAAUGAAAUACCAGGAUUAUGUCUCUGUUUGAAGUUGCUUGGCACACAAACUAUACCUACACGACUGAGGCCACCACUGUGUUUUUAUAACGUGAGACCUGUCUACACACACACACACACACACACACACACACACACACACACACACACACACACACACACACACACACACACACACACACAAUGUUUGGGAGGGUGGUUAGUAGCAGUGUUCUGGUUUAAUGGGGUACUUACCUGAACCAGCCACCAAUAAAUCCUCUGGUACAAAAGGUUUUUCAUUUUCAGCUUGAGAGACUAAACUGGAAUGACUUAAUUGACAUACUAAUGUUUAAAAUAGACUAGCCUUAGUGGACAAAAAGAGACACCUGGACAAACCUGUCAGCCUAUAUGGAUCAAAAAAGUAAAUACAGUUUCAUCAUUGCUACGACAAACCAAGAUUAAAUUCCUUCCAAUUUAUCAGAAGUAUCAGGAGUUGUCUAACUAUCACUGAUUUCAAGUUUACAUGGCAUUGGAAUUUGUUGGCCUUGUGUUUUUUGGAAAUGGGUUAGGGUUGUGUGGAAAUCCAUACAACUGGUUUGUGUUCUGCAUGGUAAAAUGCCUUUUUUUCCGUUAAUGAAGUCAAUUAUUUUAUUUUGUAUAGCCCAAAAUCGCAAAUUACAAAUUUGCCUUAGAGGGCUUUAAAGUCUGUGCACAUGCAACAUUCCCUGUCCCAAAACCCCUUACGCAAGCACUGGAAAAACUCUCAAAAAAAUGAAAAAACCCUUGAUGGGGAGAAAAAAGAGAAGAAACCUUAGGGGGACCAGCAAAGAAGAAUUCCCCUCCCAAGAUGGACAAAUUGCAAUGGAUGUUAUGUGUAAAGAAUGAACAGAUGAAAGACAUACAGUAGUUCAAUUCAUACGACACAAUAUUUUCAAAUUUUGAGAAUAGUAAGCCAGGUGUACAGCAGGACCACUGCAGGGACAACCACCAUCAUAUACAACCACCAUCAGAUAUUACAUUACAUUACAUUUAGCUGACGCUUUUAUCCAAAGUGACUUACAUUGCAUUUUUAACAAUUUUGCCCGGGUAGCAAUUAGGGGUUAGGUGUCUUGCUCAGGGAUACUUUGACUUGGAGAAACCAGGGCUUGAACCGUGAUCCUUGCGGUUCCCAGCGGUUAGGGUUAGGCGCACCCUCUCUACCCCAUGCGCCACCCACACAACCAUAACCAUAAUAAUGAUAGUGAUGGUGAUAGUCAUAGGUGUGUUUUGUUGUCAUCUUAUCCCUGCCUGUCUUUUUCCGGUGGCCAUGACAACGGGGCGUGGACUUUGAGGACGCGCAGCUGCUUCGAAUCAGUCACCUGACUCCCGUUCCCUAUCAGGGGGGUAUUUAGGAGCAACCCGGAGAUCCAGUCCCUGCCGGAUCGUUAGAUGCCAAUAGGUUAUACCUUGUACGACCAUUGUUCACCCUGCCGGACUUCGCCUCACCUAACUUCGAAUCACCUGACACGCCAUUAUCUCUCGUUGGGUCAAGGACUCUGUGAAGGGACCCACUCCAGGAACCAGAAAGUUGCAGACUACUGGUGGUUUUCUGCUUUGUUGUUUUUGUUGUUUGACUCACGGAAUUAAACCUUUUGUUUCAACCCUCCGGUCUGCGUCUGGGUCCUGUCCGAGCAAACUGACACUAGAAGUAAUAAUCGCAUGAUUUCUUUUUCUGCAUAAUAGAUGUUUGAUUUGUGUCUGAGUUUAGCAUCAGAAAGUGCUAAAGUUUGGGAACGAUCUAAUAAAUACAACUUCAACCAG